AGAGGAAGAAGGACGCAGGAUCAGAGGAGGCAGAGAGAGUGAAAGAUGGAGAAGUGGGAUAAGUGUGGUCAGACGUCGACAGCGAUGCAGCAGAAAUUCACCCAGAGCUGAGGGAGGAAGACUGAUUGGUGAAGAUGUCCAUCGCACAUUCUAAAUGCUUGAAGAUGCCUGGCAGCGCAGAUCAGGAGGGUCCCAUUUUGGGAAGGAGGUUAGAGUCCGUCUGUGGAGCAGAAAAGGCUGAAGAGCUCUCACUGCGUGAAGUACAGCUGAAUGUGUCCGGUUCACACUUCAGCACCAGAGUCUGGAGAGGGCCGUGCUAAAUCAGCACUCGAAGGGAUUGGAUUGAACGCACAGAGGAUUGUGGGAUACAGACUUCAGAGAGUGACUGAGUGAUGAUUUCCAACUUGCAGAGUAAGUAGGCUUCAGUGAUUCCAUCUAACUUCAUACUAUGCUUCCAAUCAGUGACACUAAAUAUAAAGUUCAUGCUGUACUUUGUAUUUAGUGUCAGUAUUUCACAUUCAGGUUAAAGGAGAUAAAAUAUUCUCAGAAGUGAUGAAAGAAGACAAAAAGGACUUUGAUGCUUUUCAGCUGCUCAGCUGUUGCUCUUUUGUGUCUCCUGUCUGUAAUAUAUUUCAUAUUAUUGUCAUGUUUAAAAAAUGUAUGUAAAGUACCAAUAAUAAAAUUAAUAUUUCAAAA